AUGGCGGCCGUACGCGGCCUGCGAGUGUCGGUGAAGGCGGAGGCCCCGGCGGGGCCGGCCUUGGGGCUCCCGUCGCCUGAAGCGGGUUUGGACCUAGGCGAACCGGAGCCCAUGGAGGUGGAGGAGGGCGAACUGGAGGUCGUGCCGGUUCGGCGCUCGCUGAAGGAACUGAUCCCGUUCUACCAUGUCCAUGGAUUUUUCCAGGCCACAAGCAUUAGAUAUGAAAACAAGGCUGGCAGCUUCAUCACCGGAAUUGAUGUCACCUCCAAGGAAGCGAUUGAAAAGAAGGAACAGCGAGCCAAGCGCUUCCAUUUUCGAUCAGAAGUAAAUCUUGCCCAAAGAAAUGUAGCCUUGGACAGAGACAUGAUGAAGAAAGCAAUCCCCAAAGUGAGACUGGAGACAAUCUACAUUUGCGGAGUAGAUGAGAUGAGCACCCAGGAUGUCUUUUCCUAUUUUAAAGAAUAUCCUCCGGCUCACAUCGAGUGGUUGGAUGAUACCUCCUGUAAUGUGGUUUGGUUGGAUGAAAUGAUGGCUGCGAGAGCCCUUAUCAAUAUGAGUUCUCUGCCAGCCCUGGAUAAGAUAAGAAGCAAGGAUGCCAAUGAGGACAAGUCAUCCGAGAAAAGUAAAAAAGACAAGCAGGAAGACAGUUCUGAUGACGAUGAGGCUGAAGAAGAAGAUGAAGAUGAGAACUCAAGUGAUGUAGAGUUGGACACGUUGUCGCAGGUAGAAGAAGAGUCUCUGCUAAGAAACGACCUUCGUCCAGCUAACAAACUUGCUAAAGGAAAUAGGUUAUUCAUGAGAUUUGCUACAAAAGAUGACAAAAAGGAACUUGGAGCAGCAAGGAGAAGUCAGUAUUACAUGAAAUAUGGGAAUCCAAAUUACGGAGGCAUGAAAGGAAUUCUUAGUAACUCUUGGAAGCGGAGAUACCAUUCCCGUCGCAUUCAGCGGGAUGUUAUUAAGAAGAGAGCCCUGAUUGGGGACGAUGUUGGCCUGACGUCCUAUAAACACCGACAUUCUGGACUGGUGCACGUUCCUGAGGAGCCUAUUGAGGAGGAGGAGGAGGAGGAGGAGGACCAGGACAUGGAUGCCGAGGACAGGGUGGUGGUGGAGUGCCACGAAGAGCCCGCGGCCCGCAGGCAGGCCCGGGAGCGGAGCGUGUCCAGGCGGUCCAGUGCCAGCAGCUCAGACUCUGAUGAGAUGGACUAUGAUCUAGAGCUGAAGAUGAUUUCCACUCCUUCGCCAAAGAAGAGCAUGAAAAUGACCAUGUAUGCUGAUGAGGUGGAAUCUCAGUUGAAAAAUAUCAGGAACUCCAUGAGGGCAGAUACUUUAUCCACAAGCAAUAUAAAAAACCGAAUUGGUAACAAAUUACCAGCUGAGAAAUUUGCAGAUGUCAGACAUUUGUUAGAUGAAAAACGUCAGCACACACGUCCACGGCCAGCUGGCAGCAGCACUAAAACAGAUAUACGCCAGCGAUUAGGAAAAAGACCAUAUUCUCCAGAAAAGGCUUUCAGUAGUAAUCCAGUUGUUCGGAGAGAGCCCUUUUCUGAUGUACAUAGUAGGCUGGGUGUUCCCAGGCAGGAUGUUAAAGGCCUCUACUCUGAUACUCGAGAGAAGAAGUCAGGUAGUUUAUGGACUCGCUUAGGAUCUGCACCCAAGACCAAAGAAAAGAACAUGAAGAAAGGGGAUCACAGGGCGCCGGGCACAGAGGAAGAUGACUCGGAGCUGCAGAGGGCAUGGGGGGCUCUGAUUAAGGAGAAGGAACAGUCUCGCCAAAAGAAGAGCCGCUUAGAUAACUUGCCAUCUCUCCAGAUCGAAGUCAGUCGGGAAAGCAGCUCUGGCUCAGAGGCUGAGUCCUGAUGCCCUGGGGGCCGAGGCGGCCACCCUGAAACCUGACAGUCUUGCGUAGGGCGGGGCGCACAGUAGGACCCCCCCUCGGGAGUUGGCGCCCCUCCCCUCUUGCUCAUGCAGUCACCCUCCGCUCUUGCUACUUCAGCAAGACGUCUUAGGAAACGUGACCUGUUUUGAAGGGCAUCCAUCUAAUCUUUUUGCUGCAGUUACAAUUCUGGGCCCUCCAUUCUUUUCCCACCACCCCACAAGCUUUACCCAUUGAGGAAAAGGCAGCCCUCCAGAUUUUGUAGACAUUUUUUUCGUAAUAUUUUUAACAUUAUGUCUUUUAAGAGAAAAGUUUUACACAGUUCAUCCAAAGAGCAGAGAACUGAACUUCUCACUAUUGCCUUGGCCCUGACAGCUUUACCAGCACCCUUUUUCCAAGAAAAGUCAAUUCCCAGGUGCUUAUCGGACAGCCUUCGAGAGGAAAAGACUGGGGAAGCUGCCAGCUCACCCUUCCAGGAUUCUGGCGUGGGGCCUGACUCACAUGGACCUGACCUCAGAGGUGCAGCUGUGCCGCCCGGGUAGAUCAGAGCCGCAGCCCCGACCGCCCUUCGUUCCUCCCCGGGGAUCUCUGUCAGGAGCCUCGUUAGCAAUCAGCUUGAAGUGAGGAUCAAGUUCAGUGCUGUGGGGUUUUUAGGAACAAAAAACUGUGACUUCUGGAUUUGGGGUGGAUUUUCGUGCUAGGGGUGGGGUCAUGGGUUAAUGUUGAACAAUUUGUAAGUCUGUAUUAUGUUUAAAAAAUAUUGAUGAUUUGAAAGUUUAAAUUUUUAAUUUUUAUAUGUUAAAAUACUUCCUGUUAGCCUCCAGGGAAGCUCAAGUGGUGUCUUAUGUGCUGUUAAAUAUAUAUUAUAUACUUUGGAAGAAAA